AAUUAGCGAUUUAACGUUUGGCUGGCCAUACCGCAAGCCUUUGAUGGGUCAAAAGCCACAGGAAUUGUAUAGCUCGGAUUGAUCAGGUUAAGACUAUGGCAUAAAUAUGUAGUGGGGUAGUCCCGCAUGUGUCUUGACUAUCGGUGAGAGAAGGGAAAUUGGUCUGUACGAUUUUACUUUGCUUCAGUCCUUUCCUGCCCACAGUAGCCCAUUUACCAGACAAGACAUGUUGAGGAUGUACCGACUCUCUAGAGAUUCCGCUGGGGCUCAGCUCCUUGGAUGACUUAGCGCUAUGGAUGUCAUUCGUAACAUAGUCCACGAUGUAUUGCGAUGUUUGGUCAUCGGCUCGGUGACCGCAGAUGGGACGAAUGACAACCUUAAAGUUUUUAAUGUACGUCAGUGUGAUUGCAGGCUGAUCGACCAAAGGUUGAAAAAUAACGAUUUCUGCAGAAGCUGUGAGGGCGUCGAGGAAGAGACUGGUUGUUCACAGCGGCUGCGGACAUUUGCAAGUUUCUAGGUCUUUUGAUUCAAAGAAUUUACAAUGUACUUAAAUGUCUAAAUAAUUGCAGACUGGCACAAAUCCUAACCUUUGUGUACGACCAAUUUUUUAUAGUGGCAAGAUUUCGUCAAUUUAUAUUCCCAAAUGAGCCAGAUGAAUUGAUGAAAAGUUCUCAGCUGUAGUCGUAUGUCUGCUUACGGAAGUAAAGAAAUAUAAACCAAUCGAAGAAAGCGAUUAAGUUGAUAUACAUCAUAUUAUAGAGCAUUUGAUAAAACUAAUAAAGAAUGUUUUGUUGGGAAAACGUAUUGUCUUUCUUGCUGGCUCUCAAAGGGUUAUAACUUGUUUUCUUUUAAAUGGCUGUAUUAUUUUCACAAAAAAUAAAGAUAAAGCUACCUGAUAAACAUAUACACACAUUCAUAGUUCACAGACAAUUACUUCAUUUGUUUGUAUAUUGCAGCCAUGAAAGUAAAGUGUAAAGUUUUUGCAUUGUAUGGACUAGGCUGAAGUAUUCUUUCCCAAAAUAUACCUUCACAGUGUAUGCUGUUGGAUAUGAUAUGUGGUAACUUUAUAAAAUUUUCCAUUUGUGGGGACGUUUCUGCACUUGCAUUCAAUACACUAUCAUCAAUUACCUUGAACGUAUUUAUUAUACUAAAUUGGAUGUUUGGAAAUUACGUCAUCGUUCAAUAUUCCAAGUUCAUUAAUAAAUAUACCUUUAAACAG